rnacentral:lncRNA from 1 species
UCUGCAGGCCAAACAGAAUAUGUGGAUGGGCUGUGUUGGACCCAAAGGCCCCCAGUUUGCAAGGCAAGCAAACCCAAGCACACAGGGAACCUGGCCCAGGCUGCGUAAUGGUAAGGGGCCCACAGGAACUCAACCGGGGAACCCUGGCUCCCAAAGAAGAGGCAGGCUUUUCUCUAACACCUGGAAGGACAGAAGAGGAAAAAAAAGCCAUCACUACUGAGCAUCUACUGUGUGCACAAGGCGGUGCACAGGACACUCACUGUGGCUCUGGACUCUACAUGAGAGUUCCAGACCUGGGUGGGAUGGGGAGGGGCUCCAGCCACCAUAUCCCACUGAAGCUGCUGCAACAGGACAUGGUCAGUGGUGGAGGACCUUCACUUUGCCAGGUCAAGGCCUCCUGCCACAGCACUGAGGAACCGUGUGCCACAUUCUUGGUAAGUUUUUUCUUCUUUUAUUGCCAAACUCAAAUUUAUACACAAGUUCCAGUUUUUAUUUCCACCCUCGUGCUCAGUACCCAGGAAGCAUGAGUCACUCAGGCAAAAGCAGGUACUUCCCUAGGAUGGCCAGAAGUGCUGAGAUUGCUCAACUCCCGCUCCUCCCUGGGACAAGAGCUAUUUACGUAUUUUCAGCUCACAGGGACAGAAGACAACUUUACAGGUUAUGCUUGACAGUAACAUCAUUACGUUACACAUUUCAUAUUUAUUGCAUCUAGAAAAGAUCAGAAUUGGUUUGCCAGUGCCUUUUUAAAAACAGUGCAUCUUGGAGGCCUCACAGAAACUCAGUGCCUGUCUUUAGGAGGUGUAUUUUGUCACCCAUGCCUGGAACGCUAUGCAGGCAUCUGGAUGAUGGUGGUGAAGGGGAGCUGCCUCCUGCACGUAGAGAAGCCAGGCAGGGCAGGCGGCAGGGGGCCUGCUCCUCUGUGGCUCCCUCUUCUGAGGGAGUGCACCUUUCCCUGUAGGGGGUACCCUGGAUGCCCAAGCCUCUAAACCAGAAAGCGAUGUGCAACUUUCAAAGCAGAGAGGUUUGGGGAUUCAGCGGCAAAUACUGCUAGGCAAGCCCAAUGGGCCCGGCCGUGGACUUGGGAAGGUGACCAAGCAGGCCACAGUGCUCUCUGUAGGACUUGGAGGUGGUGGAUGGGUGGGUGCUGGAGGGCUCACCCCAGAUGCCUGUGCAGGACCUGCAGGCAGGAGCUGUGGCCCUAGCAAUGGGGUUGCUCAGACCCCUGACCCUACUGAGAGGUCUGCCUGUUGUCUGGGCUGGCUGGUGUGGGGUGCUCCUAAACACACAACCGUGUCCACCAUCACCAAGAAGACCUGGGUGAGGCAGGUCCUUCAUCAGAGCCCAAGGGGCCAACUGCCACCUCUACCAUGAGGCCAGCUAGAGCCACUGAUUUCAGGCAGCAGUUGGUGGUCCCAAGAAGGGGCCCACCUGCAUGGGUUUCAAUCCUUACGAUGCUGGGCAGGGGAUCACUGCUUUCUCUCAUCUCUGCUGUGCCAAAGGAGUCAUUCCAAAGCCAGAAGGACAUGGCUCUGGGGCUUCUGCUCCAUGUCGACCUGCCUCCCUCUGAAAGAUCAGGCAGAACACAUGGCCUGCAGCUGGAUGACAUGGGCCUCUCCCCAAUGACCGUGUCUUUCCUCCCACCUGACUGCACAGACCUGUUCCCAAUGGCUCCUCAGAUAAACAGAGAUCGCAUCAGCUGCAGGUGAGGCUGGAUGCCGGUCCCUGAUUGGUGGGGGCACUGAGUGGGGCGUGGCCGGCUCUCAACUCCAUGUGGACCUGAGAGUUUGUGUAUCUCCUCCAUUGUGUUUAAAAAGAAUCUAAAUUUCUCAGGAAAGUAUGUUAUCAUUCCACAGGCGUGCAGAGUUAGUAACAGAGAAAGAAUAAUCAUUUAAGAAAGUGGAGAAACCAAGAACUCUAAGACAAGACGUUGACAAAUUCAAGGGAAAACGAAACCUUAACAGUAUCAUCACACUUUCAACAUGACAUCAAACCUUGGCGGUGAGGAUUUUUUUCCCCCAAAAUAGGUGCUUUUUAAAUAAAUGCAUUUUAAUCUGCUGCCAAAA